rnacentral:rRNA from 1 species
ACGAACGCUGGCGGCGUGCUUAACACCUGCAAGUCGAACGGAAAGGCCCUGCUUUUGUGGGGUGCUCGAGUGGCGAACGGGUGAGUAACACGUGAGUAACCUGCCCUUGACUUUGGGAUAACUUCAGGAAACUGGGGCUAAUACCGGAUAGGAGCUCCUGCUGCAUGGUGGGGGUUGGAAAGUUUCGGCGGUUGGGGAUGGACUCGCGGCUUAUCAGCUUGUUGGUGGGGUAGUGGCUUACCAAGGCUUUGACGGGUAGCCGGCCUGAGAGGGUGACCGGCCACAUUGGGACUGAGAUACGGCCCAGACUCCUACGGGAGGCAGCAGUGGGGAAUAUUGCACAAUGGGCGGAAGCCUGAUGCAGCAACGCCGCGUGCGGGAUGACGGCUUUCGGGUUGUAAACCGCUUUCGCCUGUGACGAAGCGUGAGUGACGGUAAUGGGUAAAGAAGCACCGGCUAACUACGUG